rnacentral:rRNA from 1 species
GAUGAACGCUGGCGGCGUGCUUAACACAUGCCAGUCGAACGGAAAGGCUCCUGCUUGCAGGGGUACUCGAGUGGCGAACGGGUGAGUAACACGUGGGUGAUCUGCCCUGCACUUCGGGAUAAGCCUGGGAAACUGGGUCUAAUACCGGAUAGGACGAUGGUUUGGAUGCCAUUGUGGAAAGUUGUUCGGUGUGGGAUGAGCUCGCGGCCUAUCAGCUUGUUGGUGGGGUAAUGGCCUACCAAGGCGUCGACGGGUAGCCGGCCUGAGAGGGUGUACGGCCACAUUGGGACUACGAUACGGACCAGACGGCUACGGGAGGCAGCAGUGGGGAGUAUUACACAAUGGGCGCAAGCCUGAUGCAGCGACGCCGCGUGGGGGAUGACGGCCUUCGGGUUGUAAACUCCUUUCGCUAGGGACGAAGCGCAAGUGACGGUACCUGGAGAAGAAGCACCGGCUAACUACGUG